CAGGGAGACAACAAAAUGUUUAAUAUUAUUAUUUUGUCACCUUAGGUCGAUCGGUAUCUCACGUUCUUAAUUUAUUAAGGAUUUUAUUUCCUAAGUUUUUUCUAGGUCACACCCAUUACUUUUCCUGGGCCAUUAGCUCAGGUGGUUAGAGCGCACCCCUGAUAAGGGUGAGGUCCCUGGUUCAAGUCCAGGAUGGCCCAUCUCUCUAUGUUGGGGGUAUAGCUCAGUUGGUAGAGCGCCUGCUUUGCAAGCAGGAUGUCAGCGGUUCGAGUCCGCUUACCUCCACUGAUUACCACCUCUUCCAUAAUAUUUAUUUAAGGAAUUGUUUUGAGUAGUGAUCAAAUUCUGAACGAAUCUAGCUUCCUAAUGAAACCAUUAAGAUGCUGGACUCAUUGAAUUAAUUUCAUUGUUUUCAGAGAACCUUGACAACUGCAUAGAUUAUUUUUAAAGACAAUAAGCAUCUUUUAUGAUGCAGAUUUAUUAUUUGUGCGAAUGCAUUAAUAACAAUUCUAUUAAGCUGAUGCUUCAAUUAUGAAGUUAUU
rnacentral:tRNA from 1 species